rnacentral:lncRNA from 1 species
GGACACGUGGAGGCCAAAGAAAAUGGUGGUAACUACCACUGCUUGGUAGUUACCAUCUAUUUGUUUGCCCACCACGUGUCCCACGGUUAGCACCAAACCAACUGGGUGAAUGAGCGUAAGCUGGGACGUUCUAAAGAUGUUAACACUCCUACCACGUGAACAUGUACUUAAGAUAAUUACCGGCGCUGACUUAUUGGGCGAGUUAUUGGGACUUUACGUACAGAUCGCUUGGUGGUUGCCACUGCUGGCUGUGUAAGA